rnacentral:pre_miRNA from 1 species
UGGGGGAGGCUGGAUUCUGGGCUGUGGCCGGGUGCCCCGGACCUGCGCUGUUGGAUUCGCGCUCCAGGAGCCACGCAGCCCCCU